UAGUCCACGCCGUAAACGAUGGUCACUAGUUGUUGGGAUUUAUCUCAGUGACUAAGCGAAAGUGAUAAGUGACCCACCUGGGGAGUACGUUCGCAAGAAUGAAACUCAAAGGAAUUGACGGGGGCCCGCACAAGCGGUGGAGCAUGUGGUUUAAUUCGAUGAUACGCGAGGAACCUUACCAGGGCUUAAAUGUAAGUUGCAUUAGACAGAGAUGUUUAUUUCUUCGGACUACUUACAAGGUGCUGCAUGGUUGUCGUCAGCUCGUGCCGUGAGGUGUCAGGUUAAGUCCUAUAACGAGCGCAACCCCUAUCGUUAGUUGCUAGCAGGUCAAGCUGAGGACUCUAACGAGACUGCCGGUGCAAACCGUGAGGAAGGUGGGGAUGACGUCAAAUCAUCACGGCCCUUACGUCCUGGGCUACACACGUGCUACAAUGGUAUAUACAGAGGGCAGCCACUACGCAAGUAGGAGCGAAUCCUAUAAAGUAUAUCUCAGUUCGGAUC
rnacentral:rRNA from 1 species